rnacentral:rRNA from 1 species
AUGUUACAGACCUUUUCUGAUGCUAUGGGACAGAAGCAUCCUAUAUCUGUGAUCACGGAUGGGGACCUUGCAAUGCAGAGAGCAAUCAGGGUGGUGUGGCCUGACUCAAACCAUAGGCUCUGUAUAUGGCACAUUCAGCAGAACAUUGUACGCCAUCUGCAUGAUGACGCGGUAAAGGAGGAAUUCCGAUCUUUCACAUAUGAUACAUCUUCCAUUGAAGAGCAUGAGAGAAAAUGGUUACACUUCUUACAGCGGAAUAAAGUAACAAGUGAGGACUCCUGGCUGCAUCAGAUGUAUAAGAUGAGAAAACGGUGGUGUGCUCCAUAUCUUGAGGGCCGUUGUUUCCUAGGAUUGAGCAGCAAUCAGUGGAGUGAGAGUUUAAACUCGGUGCUACAUACGCAUCUUGAGGCUAAGAUGACGUUGUUUCAAAUGCUAGAGCACUAUGAGCGUUGCCUUGUGUCGCGACGCUUGAACGAGGCUCUCCAAGACGUCGAGGCCUUACAGUCCGUUCCGUUCAUAGAGGAAAAUGCUUCAGUUCUUGAGAAACACGCCGCGGAAGUUUUUACUCCUGCUGUGUUUAAGUUGGUCAUAUGGAGCAUAGAUGCUGUCAAAAAAUGUGACAUCAGAGAGGUACUUGAUGCAGCAGAGGUUACCACAUACGUUGUGUCUAAGAAGGAAAGAAUGGAUAAAAAGAUCGAAGUGCGCACGGAGUCGAAGGAAGGUAUGCUUCGCAGUAUCAGUUGUUCUUGCCGCAAAUUGGAAUGCGCAGGCACACCAUGUUCCCACAUAUUUUACAUAUUGGAAAUUUUACAAGAAGAAACACUGCCCAGGUGUUGUGUUCCCACUAGGUGGACA